rnacentral:rRNA from 1 species
CCGUACACAAAAAUGCACAUACUGUGAGCUCGAUGAGUAGGGCGGGACACGUGGUAUCCUGUCUGAAUAUGGGGGGACCAUCCUCCAAGGCUAAAUACUCCUGACUGACCGAUAGUGAACCAGUACCGUGAGGGAAAGGCGAAAAGAACCCCGGCGAGGGGAGUGAAAAAGAACCUGAAACCGUGUACGUACAAGCAGUGGGAGCACGCUUAGGCGUGUGACUGCGUACCUUUUGUAUAAUGGGUCAGCGACUUAUAUUCUGUAGCAAGGUUAACCGAAUAGGGGAGCCGAAGGGAAACCGAGUCUUAACUGGGCGUUAAGUUGCAGGGUAUAGACCCGAAACCCGGUGAUCUAGCCAUGGGCAGGUUGAAGGUUGGGUAACACUAACUGGAGGACCGAACCGACUAAUGUUGAAAAAUUAGCGGAUGACUUGUGGCUGGGGGUGAAAGGCCAAUCAAACCGGGAGAUAGCUGGUUCUCCCCGAAAGCU